UUUAAGUGCAACCACAACUUUGAUCGUUCAUCUUAUUUAAUUUUUUUUAUAAUUAAUACUUUUAUUGUUAUGAGAUGAUAAAAUAUGAAUAGUACUUUAUACAUGACUUAUGUUUUUAAUUUUUUUUAAAUAAGACGAAUAAUUAAAAUUGUAUACGAAAAAUCAUACUUGUGACGGAG
rfam:Oryza glaberrima chromosome 6 Oglab06_0013_2, whole genome shotgun sequence.